GAUGAACGCUAGCGGAAGGCAUAAUACAUGCAAGUCGAACGGAUGUAGCAAUACAUUAGUGGCGCACGGGUGCGUAACGCGUAUGCAACCUACCUUCAUCAGGGGGAUAACUACCCGAAAGGGUGGCUAACACCGCAUAAUACUACUGAAUGGCAUCAUUUGGUAUUUAAAUCUGAGGAGGAUGAGGAUGGGCAUGCGUCUGAUUAGCUAGUUGGUGUGGUAACGGCGCACCAAGGCGGCGAUCAGUAGGGGAACUGAGAGGUUGGUCCCCCACACUGGCACUGAGAUACGGGCCAGACUCCUACGGGAGGCAGCAGUAGGGAAUAUUGGUCAAUGGUGGGAACACUGAACCAGCCAUUCCGCGUGCAGGAAGAAGGGUCUCUGACUUGUAAACUGCUUUAGCAAGGGAAGAAAAAGCUCAUGCGUGAGAAAUUGACGGUACCUUGAGAAUAAGCACCGGCUAACUACGUGCCAGCCGCCGCAGUAAAAC
rnacentral:rRNA from 1 species